UUCCACUGUCUCAGCAGCUCUUUGAGA
rnacentral:sRNA from 1 species